rnacentral:rRNA from 1 species
ACUCCUAGGGAGGCAGCAGUGGGGAAUAUUGCACAAUGGGCGCAAGCCUGAUGCAGCCAUGCCGCGUGUGUGAAGAAGGCCUUCGGGUUGUAAAGCACUUUCAGUCGUGAGGAAGGCGGCGUCGUUAAUAGCGGCGUUGUUUGACGUUAGCGACAGAAGAAGCACCGGCUAACUCCGUGCCAGCAGCCGCGGUAAUACGGAGGGGUGCGAGCGUUAAUCGGAAUUACUGGGGCGUAAAGCGCAUGCAGGUGGUUUGUUAAGUCAGAUGUGAAAGCCCGGGGGCUCAACCUCGGAAUAGCAUUUGAAACUGGCAGACUAGAGUACUGUAGAGGGGGUAGAAUUUCAGGUGUAGCGGUGAAAUGCGUAGAGAUCUGAAGGAAUACCGGUGGCGAAGGCGGCCCCCUGGACAGAUACUGACACUCAGAUGCGAAAGCGUGGGGAGCAAACAGGAUUAGAUACCCUGGUAGGACAGUG